CUGNUAUAUAAAUCUGCUCAAUGGAAAUUUAAAUAGCCGCUUUUGUGCUAAGGUAGCAUAAUAAUUUGUCUUUUAAUUAAAGACUAGAACAAAAGAUUUAACAUCUCAAUUAAUUUUUUUAAAAAAAAUAUUUAAAUUAUUUUAAUUGUAAAAAAACAAUUUUAAAAAAGAAAGACGAUAAGACCCUAUCGAACUUUACUUUAGUUUAACUGGGGUAGUUAAUUAAUUAUUAUUUUAAUAAAAUUUAAUACUUAAUUUGACCUAAUAUUAUUAAUAAAAUAAUUAAGUUACCGUAGGGAUAACAGCGUAAUAAAAUUUUUAAGAUCUCAUUUAAAAUAAAGAUUGCGACCUCGAUGUUGAUUUAAUAACCUAAUUUACGCAAUAGUUAAUUAAGGAAGUCUGUUCGACUUUAAAAAAAUUACAUGAUCUGAGUCAAAACCCGGAGA
rnacentral:rRNA from 1 species